CACGUAGGCGGGUUGUUAAGUCAGGGGUGAAAUCCUGGAGCUCAACUCCAGAACUGCCUUUGAUACUGGCAACCUAGAGGCUGGAAGAGGUUAGUGGAAUUCCCAGUGUAGAGGUGAAAUUCGUAGAUAUUGGGAAGAACACCAGUGGCGAAGGCGGCUAACUGGUCCAGAUCUGACGCUGAGGUGCGAAAGCGUGGGGAGCAAACA
rnacentral:rRNA from 1 species